UACGUAGGCAGCGAGCGUUGUUCGGAAUUACUGGGCGUAAAGAGUGUGUAGGCGGUGCUCUAAGUUCGGUGUGAAAUCUCCCGGCUCAACUGGGAGGGUGCGCCGAAUACUGAAUGACUUGGAGUGCGGGAGAGGAGAGUGGAAUUCCUGGUGUAGCGGUGAAAUGCGUAGAUAUCGGGAGGAACACCAGUGGCGAAGGCGACUACCUGGCCUGUUCUUGACGCUGAGGCGCGAAAGCUAGGGGAGCAAACGGG
rnacentral:rRNA from 1 species